AGAGCGAACGCUGGCGGCAGGCCUAACACAUGCAAGUCGAGCGCCCGUAGCAAUACGGGAGCGGCAGACGGGAUAGUAACACGUGGGAACGCGCCCUUCGGUUCGGAAUAACUCAGGGAAACUUGAGCUAAUACCGAAUACGCCCUUACGGGGAAAGAUUUAUUGCCGAAGGAACGGCCCGCGUCCGAUUAGCUAGUUGGUGAGGUAAUGGCUCACCAAGGCUACGAUCGGUAGUUGGUCUGAGAGGAUGACCAGCAUCACUGGGACUGAGACACGGCCCAGACUCCUACGGGAGGCAGCAGUGGGGGAAUAUUGGACAAUGGGCGAAAGCCUGAUCCAGCCAUGCCGCGUGGAUGAUGAAGGCCUUAGGGUUGUAAGUCCGUUUUAACGGGGAAGAUAAUGACGGUACCCGUAGAAUAAGCCCCGGCUAACUUCGCGCCAGCAGCCGC
rnacentral:rRNA from 1 species